GGACGGGUGGCCGAGUGGUUUAAGGCGCACGCCUGGAGAGCGUGUGGGCGUCGCAAGCGCCUCGUGGGUUCGAAUCCCACCCCGUCCG
rnacentral:tRNA from 1 species